rnacentral:rRNA from 1 species
GACGAACGCUGGCGGCGUGCUUAACACAUGCAAGUCGAACGGAAAGGCCCGCUUGCGGGUACUCGAGUGGCGAACGGGUGAGUAACACGUGGGCAACCUGCCCUCAGCUUCGGGAUAACACUUGGAAACAGGUGCUAAUACCGGAUAAUAACCUUUCAUCGCAUGGUGGUUGGUUCAAAGUUUUUCGGCUGAGGAUGGGCCCGCGGCCUAUCAGCUUGUUGGUGGGGUAAUGGCCUACCAAGGCGACGACGGGUAGCCGGCCUGAGAGGGCGACCGGCCACACUGGGACUGAGACACGGCCCAGACUCCUACGGGAGGCAGCAGUGGGGAAUAUUGCGCAAUGGGCGGAAGCCUGACGCAGCGACGCCGCGUGAGGGAUGACGGCCUUCGGGUUGUAAACCUCUUUCAGCUCCGACGAAGCGCAAGUGACGGUAGGAGCAGAAGAAGCACCGGCCAACUACGUGCCAGCCGCCGCGGUAA